AUUGUCAUAUUUUUCUGUUUUACAGUUUUCUGUAAAAAUAAAUAUGUUGCACGGGAGAUGAGUUGGCCCAUCAUUUCAGUGGUGUAACACAGACACUGAGGAAGUACCCGGGAAUCCCACAGGCAAAUCGGAACCAUGAAGAGGCCGCUAGGAAAGCUGUAACCACCAAGUACUUGCAGAGGGUCGGGCAAGUCCUGAGGAGUCAGCUAACUGUAAAGCAGAGGAAAACAGCAGGGGAUGAAAAAAUGGUGGCGUUUGAGCGGAGGGUAAAGAAGACAGCAGGAAGAGAAAAUCCGUUGACAUGUCCCUAAAAUGUCUUAGAGCGCCUCAGAGUUGGCUUGCGUGUGAUUAUGACAAUGAGAAGAGAAGAGAGAGGUGUGAGCAGAGGGAAUGGAAGAGGCAGAAACGCAGCUGCCACGUUGAUUAAGGAAGCCGAGGCUGAGAGGAGACAGCAGGCCACGGCCAGGCUCAGCACAGGUGUGAAUCCUCAUGGAGCUCCGUGUGGAUUGUGUGGAACAGAACAGUGGAAAAACCCUGAAGUACUGAUCUGAUGAAGGUGCCGGAUCGAUCUGAUUGAUGAGCCGGGAUGAUCGUUUGCCUGCUGCGUGAUGGGGCCAAACCAGCGGUCUGAUUAACCAGCAGAAUGGAGGACAGCCAAUCCGGGAACUCCCCUCCAGCAGCAGUUAAAGGCCUCUUAUAGAUUUUCCUGGAGCGUCUUUACUCUUCAAUCACAGAGCUACUUCAUCAAGAAGCAUCAAUCAGCAUCCAGCAGAGCGGCCAGUAAUUACAGGGGGCCACUUCCAGGCGCUGAUUUCUCCCCGAGCCGGCGUCAUCGUCUGUGCUUCAAGUCGCCAAACCCUCGCCAGUGACCAUUCGAUCCCCUUAGAGCUGGCCUAGCCUCAAAUAGAUGGCACACUUCAGCCAGUCUCAUGAGCCAGGUGGAUAUUUUUUUUAAUUCAGGUUUUUCUUAGCAGGGUGGAAUGAAAUCAGGCUCCUGAGAGAGAAAAAAAGCCUGAUGGAUGCCACUGAUGGCUAGAAAGAAUUCAAACUGCAAGUCAGAGGUCAGUCAAACUCAUCUGCUUGAGAGCCUCAGAAGGCUGUGUUCACAGCACACACAUUAUCGUGGUCAUAAUCCACAAAUCCCUAACUUUAAAGAGUAAUUCCAGUCUAUUCAACUUAGGUCUUUCUCAUGUUUAACAUUAUUCUCACCAAGUUAAUAUUUGACAUCUUGGAACGCAGUGGCGUUACUAAAGAGAGGUAUCUAGCAGUCAGACUAUCAGGCAGGUUUAAAAUGAACAGGCAGUUUAGGCAGAUUAUCUAAAGCACUAUAUUUGGAUGUCAAAUUGAAAGGGAGUGCAGCUAAAAUGGCUGUAAGAAUCUGUCAGGUUUAAAGCAGGCGGUCAGUACAUUCCAGCCUCAUGCAGAAAGGACAACACAUCAGAUACCAGACACCACAUACCAGGAUGCAUGUGUGGAAGACAAAUGAUUAAUACCACAUUUUAAAAUGUUUAAUUU